CCUCGGAUCAGGCAAGAUUACCCGCUGAACUUAAGCAUAUCANUAAGCGGAGGAAANGAAACCAACAGGGAUUGCCUCAGUAACGGCGAGUGAAGCGGCAAGAGCUCAAAUUUUAAAUCUGCCUUUUAGGCCGAGUUGUAAUUUGUAGAGGAACGUUCGGUGACGUCUAGGUCCGAGUCUUCUGGAAGGAAGCGCCGAUGAGGGUGAGAGCCCCGUACGACCAACGACUUAGCCGUGUGAACGUCCUUCGAAGAGUCGAGUUGUUUGGGAAUGCAGCUCAAAGCGGGUGGUAAAUUCCAUCUAAAGCUAAAUAUUGGCCAGAGACCGAUAGCGCACAAGUAGAGUGAUCGAAAGAUGAAAAGCACUUUGGAAAGAGAGUGAAAAAGUACGUGAAAUUGUUGAAAGGGAAGCGCUUGCGACCAGACUUGAUCGUUCAGUUCAAGGGUUCUUCUGGACCCGGUACUUCUGUUUGAUCAGGCCAACAUCAGUUCGGACGGUUGGAUAAAAGCUUGGGGAACGUGGCUCCUCGGAGUGUUAUAGCCCCUCGCACAAUACAGCCAGACCGGACUGAGGAAUGCCUUUUGUAGGAUGUUGGCGUAAUGGUUGCCAGCGGCC
rnacentral:rRNA from 1 species